rnacentral:rRNA from 1 species
AAAAGCUCGUAGUUGGGUGUCUGUCGGAAACGGCCGGUCUUCGCUAUGCGAAUGCAUGCUGGUUGGGGUCCGGCAUCCUCGCGGGGAACGCAGCUGCGCUUGAGUGCGUGGUGCGGGGCGCGCGACUUUUACUUUGAGGAAAUUAGAGUGUUCACGGCAGGCAAGCGCCAUGAAUAUAUUAGCAUGGAAUAAUAAUAUAGGACCUCGGUUCUAUUUUGUUGGUUUCUAGGGCUGAGGUGAUGGUUAAUAGGGAUAAUUGGGGGCAUUUGUAUUAACGCGUCAGAGGUGGAAUCCUUGGAUUGCGUUACGACAACCUACUGCGAAAGCAUUUGCCAAGGAUGUUUUCAUUGAUCAAGAACGAAAGUAUGGGGAUCGAAGAUGAUUAGAUACCGUCGUAGUCUAUACCAUAAACUAUGCCGACUAGAGAUAGGAGGUCGUUCUUACUACGACUCCUUCUGCACCUUAUGAGAAAUCAAAGUCUUUGGGU